rnacentral:rRNA from 1 species
GGACCCGCACAAGCGGUGGAACAUGUGGUUUAAUCGAUGAUACGCGAAGAACCUUACCUGGGUUUGACAUGUUAGUGAAAGUUUUCUGAAAAGAAUUCCCUUUAAGAGCUUGCUCUUAAACACUAUCACAGGUGGUGCAUGGCUGUCGUCAGCUCGUGUCGUGAGAUGUUAGGUUAAGUCCUGCAACGAGCGCAACCCCUAUAUUUAGUUGCCAGCAUUUAGUUGGGCACUCUAGAGAGACUGCCGGUGAUAAACCGGAGGAAGGUGUGGAUGACGUCAAGUCAUCAUGCCCCUUACAUCCUGGGCUACACACGUACUACAAUGCUACGGACAGAGGGCAGCAAGUUCGCGAGGACAAGCAAAUCCCAUAAACCGUGGCUCAGUUCAGAUCGUAGGCUGCAACUCGCCUACGUGAAGGCGGAAUCGCUAGUAAUCGC